rnacentral:lncRNA from 1 species
GUUUGACACUUUAAUAGCUUGGUCCGGUUUAAAAGGAAAAACCUGUUGUGUAAAGUGAACCGGUCAUUUAACUUUAUGAUUUCUAUUUCUUUUCUUUUCAAAAUAUAUAGUCAAGUAUAGUGAUUAUAAAUCAUGAAACAAUCUUCCGUCAUUUUAAAUAUUUACAUAAAAAUUUAAAUAUAUAAUUUUUUAAACCUAUGGUGACUUUGAAAAGAAAAUACCACCAGGUGAAUCCGUAAAAACCAAACUAUUAAAUCGUCAAAUCAUUCUGUCCGGCUGAAUCUACUUACCCGACUAGUUUUAUCAUUCUUUGAAAUCGUAGUUAACAAUUCAACAACAUAUUACUUUUAUAGUGUAAAAAUCAAAUACAAAAUACUUUUAACGUCAGAAGUAAAUGAGACAUUAAUUGCAAAAAAAAAAAAAUUCGUGAUUUAACAGUAGUAAAAUAAUUAUAUAUUUACUAUAAUUACUCUAUAAAAUUACAUAAUUACUCUACUAGAUGUAAAAUCAUGAUUUUUUUUAUUCUAACACUAAAAUACGUGUUUAGAUGGAAAAAGAAAUAAAAAAAAAAAAAAUUCAUCAUUCUUACUUUAAAGGUAUUUUGUAUGUUAAGAUUUUUAUAAAAAUCUACCCAACCCGGCCAUGAUUCCUUAAAUCAAGAAAAAAAAACAGAGAAAAAUAACUUACCAAAAGUGGCGGUGGAAAAAGUCGGUGUACCGUCGAUGAAAUUCAGGCCACCGGAAACAAUCGACUUAGUCUUCCCAUCACCGUAGAUCAUAACAUUCCAAAACGAUUUAUCCAAAACAACAUUCUCCUUAUACACCCCUUCCUUAAUAUAUAUUACAAACACCGAUUUACUCUUCUUCGUAACCAUCGCCAUCGCCUCUUUAAUCGUUCUAACAUCACCACUUCCGUCAGCAGCCACCGUCACAUUAGGCGUCGGUCUAACCUCCUGCAACAACCUCCGUACACCCGGAGACACCCAUUCCGGAAAACCCGGUUCCGUUACCGUUACCGUUAACAUCUUCCUGUGAAAAUUAAUAUUCAACUUCCUUAAUAUCCCAGCUAUCUUGGAAACAAUAGCCAAACUGUUACUAGCGUACUCAGUAGAGUUCUUCAUUUGAGAUUUGGUGUCAUCAACAAAAGUUGAAUUUGGACUCAUUUCAUCUAACGCAUCUAUACACGUUUCUUGAUUUGUUAUAGCAGUGCUCAACCACGUUUUCAGGUCUUCAACUUUGGGUAAUGUAAGCAACUUCUCAUUGGAUUUCACAUCCAUUUCGGAUAAACAAUCUUGAAGAUACUCAACGGCGUCGUUUAACACCGUCCCGCAUACACCCAAAGCCAUUUUAACAGUCUGAUUGGUCGUUUUCGAACCCAAUUUAUCUGGCAACGUUGCCACGUCGGAUAGCGAUUUCAAAACUACCUGUAACGAUAGCUUUAGCAGCUCUUCGGGAUCAGUAGAGUUCGAUUUAUUAAUCUCGGAUAUGCUGUUGUAGCAGGAUUCUGGGUACAACGUUUGGCUGCAGACUGCUUUGAGCGAUUGGGCUGAGUCGUUGGAGCCGACGGUGGAGUCGUCGUUGUUUUUGUUGCGUUUGUGAAUGAGGGUUCCGGCGACGGCUCCGAUGAUGACGGCGAGGAGGAGGACGACGGAGACGGUGAGGAUAAUUAUGCGUUUGCGGGUUUUGCGGCGGAAUGCUUGUUCUUCUGCCGGGUCUACUUUGCCGUAACCUUUGAAAGAUUUGAUGGUAUCCAUGAUGAUGUUACUUGUGUUUGGUUUUUUGCGUUUGUGUUGGUGUUUUGAGUGUGUGUGAAAUGGUUUAUAUAAAUAAAGUGGGUGAUGCUCGCCAGUUGUGGCUUUUGCGUGUUAAGUUGAGGCCGGAAGGUGUUGAUGUAACAUCGAAUACACUUUGA